GCAAUUGAAUCCAUAGACAAAAAUGUAGAUGGGUGAUAAUUCUCUAUUGACAAGCUUGUAAUCAAGUCUUCCCCCAUCUGUUUACCCUUAUUUGCACUGCUAAUUCCUCACAGUUAAUACCCAAUUUCACUAUGUAACAUCAGCACCUACUCAAAAUCAACAAAAGCACCUCAUAACUACAAACCCCAUAUACAUAAAAACACCUUUAUACACAAAGAAAAAGGGCAGCCCGGUGAAGCUCUCGCUACGCGCUGUACCGGGGAAGGGCCGGACUACAAGGUAUAUUUGUAUGCAACCUUACCCUACAUUUCGACAAAAGGUUAUUUUCACGGCUCAAACUCGUGACCUCCUGAUCACGCGGCAGUAACUUUACCAGUUACGCCAAGGCGGACCACAAGGUCUAUUGUACGCAGCCUUACCCUGCAUUUCUGCAAGAGACGGUUUUUAUGGCUCAAACUCAUGACCUCCUGGUCAUAUAACACCAAUUUUAACAGGUAUGCCAAGAUUCCCAUUCAACUUUAUACACACUAUAUCGGAAAUAGUUCAAAAUUUUACCAUAAAAUCAAUAUAAACAAACAUGGGUAUUACCAAACAUCAGUACAGAGGAUGUUUUAUGCUAUAAAGGUGAGAUUUUUACAGACAAAAACUGUACAAUGAAGGGUUCUUGAAUUGAAUAAAACCAUAAAAAAUUGGGUAAAAAACUAUGGAAAAUAAAUCAGAAGGAUUAUUAGGAUUACCUUUACGGAGAUUAACUUAGAAUCCAAUAAGAGUUAACUGUAAAACGAUCUUUACAAAGAAUGCUCAGCAAAAAAUCGACGGCUAGAGAGAGAAAGAAGAGAGAAGGGGAAAGGGGAGAGAGAGAGUUUUGAGAUUGAGGGAAAUAAACGGUGACGGACACCGUUAACUUUGACGGCGUUAAUGUGAAACAACGAGAAGAAUCGUAACGUCUGAUAAGCAUUAAGCAGAAUCUAGUAGUGAUUCGGGGACCACGAAAUAGUUGAUGAAUGAUAAUUCGAUUAUCCAAUACGUAACUUACCUUUUCAUUCUGAUGAAGAAUCAAACAUAUGAUAAGUACCGAUCUGAAGAAGAAGAGAAAAUGAUACCAAAAACAAAAAUGUAACC
rnacentral:lncRNA from 1 species